rnacentral:lncRNA from 1 species
GAAGGCGGGUUUUUCCGGAUGCCUUGGCGCGAAUUUCAAUUAGUCGCUGAGCAGGCUUGAAUGGGCCUGUGUGCUGUGCUCCUUGUCCUGCCGCUGGAUUCUGUGGACUGUGCUCAGGCAAGCUCCGAAGUUGCGACAUGGAUGAACUGACCCAUGAUGAUGUGCAUGUGAACUUCACUCAAGAAGAAUGGGCUUUGCUGAAUCCUUCACAGAAGAGUCUCUACAAAGAUGUGAUGUUGGAGACCUACAGGAACCUCAAUGCUGUAGGCUACAAUUGGGAAGACUGUAAUAUUGAAGAUCAUUAUAAAAGUUCCAGGAGACAUGGAAGCUGCCUCAAGAAGAACCGACAAGAAAGAAGAAACACCUCACGCUGGGGCUGGCCCAUGUCACAACUGCAUCCUUCUCAACUGAUUGUUAAAGAUGUAAGCAAAAAUAAAUUACACUAUGAACAUAGCAAACCAGAAA